UAAUGUUUGAUGUUCUAACGUUGGCCCCUAAUCGGGGUUGCGGACAGUGUCUGGUGGGUAGUUUGACUGGGGCGGUCUCCUCCUAAAGAGUAACGGAGGAGCACGAAGGUUGGCUAAUCCUGGUCGGACAUCAGGAGGUUAGUGCAAUGGCAUAAGCCAGCUUGACUGCGAGCGUGACGGCGCGAGCAGGUGCGAAAGCAGGUCAUAGUGAUCCGGUGGUUCUGAAUGGAAGGGCCAUCGCUCAACGGAUAAAAGGUACUCCGGGGAUAACAGGCUGAUACCGCCCAAGAGUUCAUAUCGACGGCGGUGUUUGGCACCUCGAUGUCGGCUCAUCACAUCCUGGGGCUGAAGUAGGUCCCAAGGGUAUGGCUGUUCGCCAUUUAAAGUGGUACGCGAGCUGGGUUUAGAACGUCGUGAGACAGUUCGGUCCCUAUCUGCCGUGGGCGCUGGAGAACUGAGGGGGGCUGCUCCUAGUACGAGAGGACCGGAGUGGACGCAUCACUGGUGUUCGGGUUGUCAUGCCAAUGGCACUGCCCGGUAGCUAAAUGCGGAAGAGAUAAGUGCUGAAAGCAUCUAAGCACGAAACUUGCCCCGAGAUGAGUUCUCCCUGACUCCUUGAGAGUCCUGAAGGAACGUUGAAGACGACGACGUUGAUAGGCCGGGUGUGUAAGCGCAGCGAUGCGUUGAGCUAACCGGUACUAAUGAACCGUGAGGCUUAACCUUACAAC
rnacentral:rRNA from 1 species